CCUAGGAGCGAUGCGUCCGUACGCGGUCACGGAUCUGCACGCCCUACGCCCUCCCUAGCCUGUUACCAACGGAGGCAGGAUAUUACUGGAUGUGUCAGAUGCUUGUUAAAGUAUUACAUUCAUGGUGCAACAAGUGAGAUCUGGUGAACAUUCAUGUGGCACUUGCAAAGCUCCAUUGGGACGAACUUCCUUACCAACCAGAUGAGUAUUCGAUUUCAUAUCUUUGAUACUAUCUUCAAGGGGGAAGUGCACGUGGAAGUUGAACAAAGGUGUUCUUACAGUUACUCUUUUGCU